GAUGAACGCUGGCGGUAUGCUUAACACAUGCAAGUCGAACGGACUCUUCGGAGUUAGUGGCGGACGGGUGAGUAACGCGUGAGAAUCUGGCUUUGGGUUCGGGACAACCACUGGAAACGGUGGCUAAUACCGGAUGUGCCGAGAGGUAAAAGAGAAAUUGCCUGAAGAUGAGCUCGCGUCUGAUUAGCUAGUUGGUGAGGUAAAGGCUCACCAAGGCAGCGAUCAGUAGCUGGUCUGAGAGGAUGACCAGCCACACUGGGACUGAGACACGGCCCAGACGACUACGGGAGGCAGCAGUGGGGAAUUUUCCGCAAUGGGCGAAAGCCUGACGGAGCAAUACCGCGUGAGGGAAGAAGGCUCUUGGGUUGUAAACCUCUUUUCUUAGGGAAGAACAAAAUGACGGUACCUAAGGAAUCAGCAUCGGCUAACUCCGUG
rnacentral:rRNA from 1 species